UACGGAGGGUGCAAGCGUUAUCCGGAUUCACUGGGUUUAAAGGGUGCGCAGGCGGAUAUGUAAGUCAGUGGUGAAAUCUUCCCGCUUAACGGGAAAACUGCCGUUGAUACUAUAUAUCUUGAAUGCCGUGGAGGUAAGCGGAAUAUGUCAUGUAGCGGUGAAAUGCUUAGAGAUGACAUAGAACACCUAUUGCGAAGGCAGCUUACUACACGGAGAUUGACGCUCAUGCACGAAAGCGUGGGGAUCAAACAGG
rnacentral:rRNA from 1 species